AUUGAACGCUGGCGGCAUGCCUUACAUAUGCAAGUCGAACGGCAGCACGGGUGCUUGCACCUGGUGGCGAGUGGCGAACGGGUGAGUAAUAUAUCGGAACGUACCUUAAUGUGGGGGAUAACGCAGCGAAAGCUGUGCUAAUACCGCAUAAUCCCUAAGGGGGAAAGCGGGGGACCGUAAGGCCUCGCGCAAUUAGAGCGGCCGAUACCUGAUUAGCUAGUUGGUGAGGUAAGGGCUCACCAAGGCAACGAACAGUAGCUGGUCUGAGAGGACGAUCAGCCACACUGGGACUGAGACACGGCCCAGACUCCUACGGGAGGCAGCAGUGGGGAAUUUUGGACAAUGGGGGCAACCCUGAUCCAGCAAUGCCGCGUGAGUGAAGAAGGCCUUCGGGUUGUAAAGCUCUUUUGUCAGGGAAGAAACAGCAGCUCUAACACAGUUUGCGAAUGACGGUACCUGAAGAAUAAGCACCGGCUAACUACGUGCCAGCCGCCGCCGUAA
rnacentral:rRNA from 1 species